AACGCACAUUGCGCCCUUUGGUAUUCCGAAGGGCAUGCCUGUUCGAGCGUCAUUUAUCAACCAUCAAGCUCGGCUUGUUGUUGAGCCUCGCACCGCCCCGCGGCGGUGGGCUCAAAAGAGAACGGCAGGGUUUAUGUGGACCUCGGAUGCAGCGAGCUCCUCAAGCACGCGUCUGAAAGCGGCCCGCAGGCUCGGCCUCAAUCACGCCUCUUCAGGUUGACCUCGAAUCAGGCAGGGAAACCCGCUGAACUUAA
rnacentral:misc_RNA from 1 species